rnacentral:rRNA from 1 species
CGCUGGCGGCGUGCCUAACACAUGCAAGUCGAACGCGAAAGUCCCGCAAGGGAUAAGUAGAGUGGCAAACGGGUGAGUAACACGUGGGUGACCUGCCUUCGAGUGGGGGAUAACGUCCCGAAAGGGACGCUAAUACCGCAUGACAUCCUGCCUUUGAAGAGGUGGAGAUCAAAGCCGGGGACCGCAAGGCCUGGCGUUUGAAGAGGGGCCCGCGUCUGAUUAGCUAGUUGGUGGGGUAAUGGCUCACCAAGGCUUCGAUCAGUAUCCGGCCUGAGAGGGCGGACGGACACACUGGGACUGAGACACGGCCCAGACUCCUACGGGAGGCAGCAGUGGGGAAUUGUUCGCAAUGGGCGCAAGCCUGACGACGCAACGCCGCGUGGAGGAUGAAGACCUUCGGGUCGUAAACUCCUUUCGAUCGAGACGAAUGGCUUCCGGGUGAACAGCCCGGGAGAAUGACGGUACCGAGAGAAGAAGCCCCGGCUAACUCCGUGCCAGCAGCCGCGGUAAUACGGGGGGGGCAAGCGUUGUUCGGAAUUACUGGGCGUAAAGGGCUCGUAGGCGGCCAACUAAGUCAUACGUGAAAUCCCUCGGCUUAACCGGGGAACUGCGUGUGAUACUGGAUGGCUUGAGAUUGGGAGAGGGAUGCGGAAUUCCAGGUGUAGCGGUGAAAUGCGUAGAUAUCUGGAGGAACACCGGUGGCGAAGGCGGCAUCCUGGACCAACACUGACGCUGAGGAGCGAAAGCCAGGGGA